UAAGAAUUAGUUAAUAUAUAACUAUAACAUAAAUAUGUCAUAUUUAAAUAAUUUAUAAAAAUAUUCUUAU
rnacentral:tRNA from 1 species